rnacentral:rRNA from 1 species
UACGAGGGGGGCGAGCGUUGUUCGGAAUUAUUGGGCGUAAAGGGUGCGUAGGCGGUUUGGUAAGUCUGAUGUGAAAAUCUAUGGGCUCAACUCAUAGUCUCGCAUCGGAAACUGCCGGGCUUGAGUGUGGGAGAGGUGAGUGGAAUUCCUGGUGUAGCGGUGAAAUGCGUAGAUAUCAGGAGGAACACCUGUGGCGAAAGCGGCUCACUGGACCAUAACUGACGCUGAUGCACGAAAGCUAGGGGAGCAAACAGG